UUCCUCGUGUCGGUCUGUACCCUUGUUGCCUUCGAUAGAAACUUUGUAGAAAUAGAAAUCAUCGGAGUCUCUUCAAACUUACUUUCCUUCGACUCAUUUCAAACGUUGUUCAAAGAUCUUCUAUCCUUUUCGGUCGUCGAUUCUGUCAUUGGAGGAGACUCCUUGAUCCAAACUCUCGGUUCUGCCCAUCGUUUACCUUCCUUUGCCAUCACAUGCGCUGCAUGAUUCACCGAUCGUUCCACAAAGUAACAUGUAAAACUUUCAAAUCUUUGGGCUCUUUCUUUUAUUUCUUGUAUAAUUGCUGCUAUGCUCGAUCUAUCCCCAUCUACUGUUUGGAUUUUUUUAUGACUAUCAAGGAGUCCCCUUCAACCAUCAGAUUACGGAACCCUAGUUCUUCAGACACAGUCACUGCUUGCAGACAUGCUCUCGCCUCCACCAUGGUUGCAUCAGCUACAAAAUUGUUCUAGUAAGUGCAUGCUGCCAAUAUAUGCCCCUCGUUGCCUCUAAAUAUGAUUCUCGUGAUUGAUUUUAGCAUGUUUUUGCUAUAGGCCGC
rnacentral:lncRNA from 1 species